UGCAAUUCCUAUUUAACCAACGUCGGCGUUCGUCUCCGCGGUGCGAUAAAGAAAAAUUUGCUUCUGCAAAUAACUUUCCCAAAUCUUCAUUUUCUGCCUUUGAUUUUCCGCACAUACAUUUCCCUUGGGGCAGCCCGCGGGUGCUGUACUAGAAAGUCUGCAGUAUCAAUUACGAUACCACGUUGACGGCUCCUCCCACUGAACAUUUAGACGUGGUCAGGCGCUCGUCUUCACAAGCGGAUUUGACCUGACUGCUAGGAGCGCUCGGCAAUUGCUUCUUCGUCUACCAUGGCGCCUUCCUUGAUGUCGUUGGUGCGAUGUCUGCUGGUGGUCACGCUGCUGGCGAGGCAGGGCAGCGUGGUGACCUCGUUUACUUUCGAAGGUCGGGCCGAGUGUGGUGAGAACUGCGGCGGCGUCGCAGGGUUCACGUGCGUGGACGAGUGCCGCUGCGUCUUCCACCAAGCUGCCGAUUUCGGCGUCUGCCGUCCGCUCAAUUACGACGAGGCCAAUCUGCCCGAAAUAAUGUUAUGAGGGGGUGCCCCCCCUUUUCCCGAAAGUAAACUUUGUAUCACGAGA